rnacentral:tRNA from 1 species
GAGCCAUUAGCUCAGUUGGUAGAGCAUCUGACUUUUUAAUCAGAGGGUCGAAGGUUUCGAGUCCUUCAUGGCUCAYCA